AAGGGUAUUAGAUCAGACUUGGUAUUUAGUUAUCAUUGCUCCUUGUGGGUGGUGCUCUAGCUUUCUACUGGGCCAGCAUCAGUUUUGGUGGCAAGAUAAUGACAAUUUGAACGUGGCUCUUCGGAGUGUUAUAGCUUUUGUUGAUGUUGCCUACUGGGACUGAGGUCUGCGGCUUUUGCCUAGGAUGCUGGCGUAAUGAUCCAAUACCG
rnacentral:rRNA from 1 species